CAGAAAUAAGGAGAGAGAAGAUGCAUCCGAACCAGGGUUCUUGUCAUCCUUGCGGGCUGAGGGCGAUAAAUGGCGCCGGCACCCGGGAACUAAAAAAAGGAAUCUUGCAAGGUAAUCCGCAGGAAAGCGGGGAGUAAAGAUCCGCAGGAAAAGGAGGCUCCAAUUUGGAUCCCAGAGUGGCUGGUGCGUGCAGCCUUGCCUCCAAACACCAGUCAUGAUGAUGAAGAUGCUGAUGAUAACUCUGGGGAUGCUACACCUCCUGCGGCAGACUCAAGGCAGAGAGCUGAACCUGGUUCCACCCUGACAGCAUGAUCAACAUGGCUGGCAGCACAGACACAAUUCCUCUGGAAAUCGGCCAUUAUCCAGCAUCUCCCUACAGAAUCUCAGCCCCUUACUCUAGGUGGGAUGCAGUCUUCAUGGCCCCAACCUACUGAGGCCUCCUUGGCUGGCAAAGCAAUGAAGCUCCGGCUGCCCGUGAUCCCCAACUCUGUCUGCAUGUUCUGUAUUGGGGCUUGUUAGGCACCCCCAAAAAAAUGGUUCCAUGAUUAAAGGAGUGAGACUGAUAUAAAGCCAAGGUCAAGCAAAGCUUUAUUCCAUGCCAAGUAUCAAGAAUCAGACCGAACAUUUGGGGACACACCUCUUAAAAGAGAGGGCAACCUUUCUCUGUUGCACAUACUAGCUUUUAAGGGCAAAGGCCAUGCGGUUGGGCCUGGCCCUGCAGAGGUGGCCAAUGAAACUGUAACACAGAGAAAGCUGCACAGUCAUGCUAGGUGACCAAUUGAAUGACCACUUACUC